CGUGUUCACCGGACUUGCCUUGAU
rnacentral:miRNA from 10 species